GGUGUUAAAGGAGCCACUAUCUCUCUGUAUGAUUAGAAAGGGUGUAUGAAGCAAGGGUAAUUUGCAUCUUUUGGGCAUAAUGUGAGAUUGAGAAUAUCGCAUUUUGAGCAGUUCUAAAAGGUGACAAAUUAGCUUAGUUGUUUCAUUUACCCUUUGACAUGGCUUGUGUUUGCAUUUUAAUUGUAGUGGCCUCAAAGAAUGGCUUAUAGUUAGUUUCCCUAUUUUAUCAAGGUGUUAAAAGGGCCACUUUCACUCCAUAUGAUUAGAAAGGGUGCUUGAAGCAAGGUUGAUUUGCAUCGUUUGGACAUAAUAUGAGGCUGAGAAUGUUGCAUUUUAAGCAGUUCUAAAAGGCAACUAUUUAACUUAGUUGUGAUGUAGUAUGUAUUUUUCGUUGACCCUUUGAUAUGGCUUGUGUUUGCUUCUUAAUUUUAGCUUUCUAGCAAUAGGUCUGGCACUGUUUUAAAUUCAUAUUUACUUAUUUAGUUUUUGUUUCUCAGAUAUUCUAUGAAACUGUGAAAAGGCAUGUUGAACAAGCAUUUGGAGUACAUAUUGAUGAAAGAGAGGAUAAUACUAUCCAAGAAGAUAAAUUAGUCUCUUGCGUAUCCAAUCUGAAAAGGUUCCUUCUAUCAUGCCUUGAUGCUUUGACAAAUAAAGGGCUGUUCCUUCUUGCCAUUUUACUAACAAGAGGCUCGGUCAACUUUGAAAAAACCCGUCCAAAGAUGAAAAAGGUGAUCAAAGAAUUAAUUCCAAGGGUUUUUCGGGAUCAGAAUAAUAGUGGGCAAAAAGAUAUUUUUACACAGCUGUCUCAACUUCUCAAGGAUCCUCAAAAUGUCAAAGACAAUUGUUUGACACUCUUGUUCCCCACAUGUCAUUCUCAUCAUGCUUCUGCUAUUAAAAUACUGGAAAGACUAGAGGAUUUGUCUUCUGAAACCCUGCUUGCUAUGCGCAGGAAACUUAGAGGUGUCACAGCUAGUACUCCUUGUUUACAACAAAACAGACAUGGAUUUAGCCGAGGACAGUUAAUUUAUAAUGUGAGGAGCAGUAUUGAGAAAAUGCUUUCAGAAGUUGUUGGAGGGGAAGAGUUACAAGCACCGUUAGCCAAGGCACUUGCUGUAGCAAGUUUAUCACUAAAACUAACAACAGGCUAUUCAAAUUCCCCUGUAGUAGACUUUGAGCAGUUCUCACCAGAAGUAAAAACCUUGCAGAAUGAUAUAGCAAAAGCUAUUUGGUUGCUCGAAACAAAGGUUAGAAUAUCAGAGCUGAAAACCUUGCAGCUUCUUUUAGACCCUCAUGCUAAAGUCUCAAAUGGGUGUUUAAGAACAGCGAUGAAGAAAAUGUUAACUGAAUAUCUUUUUGAAUGUAGUGAUUUAGAUACAAUUCCUAAAUCUUUAUUAGAAGCUCUUGCUAUUAUCAACAGGGGUUCUAGAAGCACACCAUGCUUCCUUAAGGAAGAAAUUGAAGAAGAGUUGGAAUGCAUAUUAAGUGUAAGUGCUCAAAUGAAGCAGAUAGUCUGGGAUUUGCUUCCUGCCCGUGAGUUUGAUGAGGAUUUUUCUGAUGCAUACAUGGAAGAAUUAGAAGAAAGCGAUGAUGGUGGGGUUGAUGAUGAUGGUUAUCAUGAUAAAAAUGAUGAUGAUGGUCAACAUGAUACAAACGAUGCUCAUACUGGUGACCGUGAUGAUGGUGGUCAUCAAGUUCAACGUAGAAACAUUCUGAGUAGUAGGACUUAUUCUGUUAGUUUGGAUAAUCUAGAAGAGAGUUGUGGGGAGUUUGUACCAAUGGGUUCCAAGCCAUCAAUUUCUACCCCUGAUGGGAGUUGGGGUUCCACUGUGUGGCAAGAAAAAAGAAAUCUUGAUGACAUUCUUGAUGUGGACAUGACUUGGUUUGAAGUCGAAAGUAUGGGCAAAUUUGGCACAUCAAGAGGAAAUAGUUUUUCCCCACACUUUCCUUCUAAUGGAAGGUUAAAUAACAUAUCUAUCAAAGAAAAUGAACAUGAACAGGGUACUAAAGGAGAUUGGGGAAAUUCACAGGGUUUGCCCUCUACUAACUUUUGCACUAGAAAGGUAAAAUUUAUCUCCAAUAAGAAAGAUUCACAUACCAAUAUAUAUUUAGGCGUCCAAGAAGUUUGUGAUGAGACGAGCAUGGUUGCCUACAAUCUAAUUGGUUGUAUGAUGGAGAAGUUUGCACAAGAAGAAGGCUUAAAUUUAGAUUGGAGUGAUAGUUCAUAUCUUAGAGGGGAUUACUCGAGUCAAGAAAAUGAAGGUAUUGGAUUUUUUUUUAAUAAAUUUAUUUUGAAGCGGAGCUAUGUAUACUACAAAAUUCUGUGGGGGGAACAUGGUUGUACCGCAACUAUACUUGUUCUUAUUCUAGUUCUGGUUUUUGGAAUUAGAUCUAAAAUAUGAUUAUUCCAUGAAAAUAUAUGUGUAUUUGGUGUUUCCUUCGUGCCAUUUUAUUUCUUUUUCUUCCUUUGGUUAUUGAAAGAACAAAAAAUUCCUCUUCUGAGAAUUCAUGAAUGCCUAAUCAUUCUGUUUCUGUCUCUUUUCAUAAUUGUACUUUUUCGUAAGGAUAAAAUAAAUGCUACAAUAUUGUUGUUUCUGGUAUUGUUGCUGUAGUAAAAUUGGCAACUUACAUCAACGUGAUGUUUCCCAUAUAUGUUUGUUACAAUCUUCCAGAAUUUGCAUACCAAGUAAUGCCAUUUUCUUAUGGUACUUAUGAUGAAUCUUAAUAACCCUUGCUUCUGUGUUUUCUUAUUCUGUCUGCAUUUGAGGCACAAAUCCAAUAUAUUUGAAUUGGAUAAAGUAGCAAUUUGUCCCUUGAACUUGUCGUUAAAAGGCAAUUCACCCCAAAAUUAAUUUUGUGGGCAAAUUAGCCUGUAAGUUUUAUUUUUGGAGCAAUUUAGUUCUAAUUCUGACUGAAUUGAGCACUUAUUUUUGGGCUUUUAUCAGAUAUUGAGACUUAAAUUGCCCCAACAAUAAAACCUACUGGGCGGAAGAUAAUUUUGGGGUGAUUUGCCCCUUAAUGACAAGUUGAAGCGGCAAAUUGCUACUUUAUCCUAUUAGAAUCUGUCAUAAAGUGUGCUUUUGCAUUUUUGCUUAAUUGAUUCUUUCAGGAUGUUAUUUGCUUGCUUUGCAGCAUUCUUUCAUGUUAGAUGUAAGGGUGAACUGAUCAUUCAUCAUUAAAUAAACUAGUAGGUUGAACCAGUUCCACCUCUUGGAAGUAUUGGCUAUCUAAUAGUUUAGCGUGUGUACUGCGGUUGUUAUGCAAUUAAUAGAUCUUUCAUUUUCUUGUAUGAUUGCAGAAGAAAAGAUGAAUUCUUCUGAGAGAAGGGUAGAUGGUUCAGUUAUUGUUCAAGUUGUUGAAGAGCUACUACCUUCCCUUCCAAAGAGGUAUGGUAGUUUACUUGUUUUGAUGUGCUAAGUAUAUGACUGGCUUGUCAUGUUAUGAAGGUUUUAUGGUGUUUUCAUGUUCAGUUUCAGGUUUUGAUGCCACUUCUUUGUUACUGUCUUGUUGAAUUGCCAAAUGCUUAGCAUUACUCAACUUGAUCAUACAAUUGGCUGAGCUCAUUAGGGAGUUAAAUUGGGCAUUUUUUACUGUACUGGAUUAAAUAAUUUAGAAAUAGAUGGGACAUAUUGGGCGAAAAGCUUAAGUUAUAUAUAUAUAUUAUUGUUUGUUUUUCUGCUUCCAAAAUCAUUAAUGAUUGCUAUUGUUUCUUAUGUCUGCAGUAAAAUGGAAAAACUGAAGGAGUUGAUAGGCAUUCUUUGAGCCUUUGGUGGCUACUAGAUUAUGUUUGAGUACCCCAGAAUUCUUGUGGUGGUUACAAAUGCUUUUGUUUUUUGAUCAAGCCUGCCCAUUGAGGAUUUUUCUGUUGACCUCCAGACUUUGUUAAAUAGGUGUGAGCCACUUGAGCAAGGAACUUGGAUCAAGUCAACAAGAUUUCUCAACUUAAGAUGAUGACACCAUCAAUUUUGACAGAUCAUUGUACAGAAGAUCGGAUAGAGGAAGAAUUUAGUCAUGCUAACAGCCAUAAUUUAGUCAUUGAUAUAGGUUAGCCUUCUCUAUAUUUCAAGUUAAUGAUUAAAAUAGUGACAAGAUUGCAGUUGAGUUGCAAGAAGUAUCACAUUGUAGCGGGAAAUGACCCAUUCAUUGGAAAAUUUUGUGUAUUACAUCCCAGGCGUAUUCAGAUGUAUUUUAUUCAUUUAUUUAUGAAUUUUUCUCCCAAGUGAUUUCAGC
rnacentral:misc_RNA from 1 species